rnacentral:rRNA from 1 species
UAUGUGAUCGUCUCUCGCAUAUCAAUAAGCGGAGGAAAAGAAACUAACAAGGAUUCCCCUAGUAACGGCGAGUGAAGCGGGAAGAGCUCAAAUUUGAAAUCUUAAAGGGUUUCCCUUUACGAAUUGUAGUUUAAAGAAGUGUUUUCUGUUGAGGUUUUGGUAAAAGUUCUUUGGAAUAGGACAUCAUAGAGGGUGAGAAUCCCGUAUUUGACCUUUACUUUCAACUUUGUGAUACACUUUCAAAGAGUCGGAUUGUUUGGGAAUGCAGUCCAAAAUGGGUGGUAAAUUUCAUCUAAAGCUAAAUAUUGGCGAGAGACCGAUAGCGAACAAGUACCGUGAGGGAAAGAUGAAAAGAACUUUGAAAAGAGAGUUAAACAGUACGUGAAAUUGUCAAAAGGGAAGCGUUUGACACCAGUGUUGUUUUUCUGAAAAUCAAUUAAAGAACUGUUUAUGCUAAGCUGUUUAGACUUUAUCAGCUAAUCUGCUUAGUUUUGAGCUUUUCUUUAAUGCACUUUUCAGUUAACAAGGUCAACAUCAAUUUCUUUUGCUGUAAAAAAGCUUGAGGAAGGUGGCUUGAGAUUCGUCUUAAGUGUUUAUAGCCUCUUGCCUAUGCAGUCGGAGAGAUUGAGGUCUGCAGCGUAGAUCCUUCGGGGCUAAAUGCAUUUGUGCUAAGUUAUAGCAUUUUAUAGACAACUUGUUGACUAUGAUUUGUCUUGUAGCUUACUCGCUUAUGUUAUUUUACCUACGCUUAGGAUGUUGAUCUACAGAGCGAGAGU